ensembl:lncRNA
GCCUUCCACUGUGUCUCUGUAGGUAGCCUUCCACUGUGUCUCUGUAGGGAGCCUUCCACUGUAUCUCUGUAGGUAGCCUUUCACUGUAUCUCUGUAGGUAGCCUUCCACUGUAUCUCUGUAGGGAGCCUUCCACUGUAUCUCUGUAGGUAGCCUUUCACUGUAUCUCUGUAGGGAGCCUUCCACUGUAUCUCUGCCGGUAGCCUUCCACUGUACCUUGCAGAUGUUACGUUUGCACACUCAAGGAGUCUCCUCACCUCCUGAGCCCAGUAAGAAGAACGUUCAAUAUUGCAUGGGGUUGAAACACUUUUUUGAGUGGUCCAAAUGAUGGAAAAGGACUACUGGAGUUCCCUUUGAGUCAAAGAUGGUGGUAAUAUUCACACACUGGAAGACAUGCUAUUUCAGUCCAUCGUUAUAGAUUUUGGUGGGAGCCAAUUUAAAAAGAAACAACAGGGACUAUCUGAGGGAAUUUGUCUCAAAUUAAAAUAGACAAGUGUCAACACUUGUUGGGUACGUGCGAAGUGUGUGUGUGAGGAGAACCUGCUGGUGUUGACAAACGCAGACAAAAAGACACUUUAGAUUAUGGCAUAAAAAGCUAUUGAAUGAAUAUGACAACAAAGCUGUGGAUAAUGAAAGUGUCCAUCAAAUAAAACUCAGGACACG